rnacentral:rRNA from 1 species
CAGCAGCCACGGGAAUACGUAGGGUGCGAGCGUUAAUCGGAAUUACUGGGCGUAAAGCGUGCGCAGGCGGUUAUAUAAGACAGAUGUGAAAUCCCCGGGCUCAACCUGGGACCUGCAUUUGUGACUGUAUAGCUAGAGUACGGUAGAGGGGGAUGGAAUUCCGCGUGUAGCAGUGAAAUGCGUAGAUAUGCGGAGGAACACCGAUGGCGAAGGCAAUCCCCUGGACCUGUACUGACGCUCAUGCACGAGAGCGUGGGGAGCAAACAGGAUUAGAUACCCCGGUAGUCCCUGUCUCUUAUAC